rnacentral:rRNA from 1 species
AGUUCCAGAGUACGGCCAGACACGUGAAACCUGGUCGGAAGAUGGGGGGACCACCCUCCAACCCUAAAUACUACCCAGUGACCGAUAGCGUAUAGUACUGUGAAGGAAAGGUGAAAAGGACCCCGGGAGGGGAGUGAAAUAGAACCUGAAACCUUGUGCCUACAAGCACAUAGAGCACAUCAACGUGUGAUAUGGUACUUUUUGUAGAACGGUCCGGCGAGCGAUUGUAUGUUGCGAGCUUAAGGUCUUAAGGACUGGAGGCGUAGCGAGAGCGAGUCUGAACAGGGCGUUCAGUAACAUGCAAUGGGCCCGAAACCGGGUGACCUACCCAUGAUCAGGCUGAAGUGAAAGUAAAAUUUCAUGGAGGGCCGAACCGACCUCCGUUGAAAAGGCGGCGGAUGAAUUGUGGGUAGCGGAGAAAUUCCAAUCGAACUCGGAGAUAGCUGGUUCUCCCCGAAAUAGCUUUAGGGCUAGCCUCAUAUUAGAUACCCGGAGGUAAAGCACUGAAUGGCCUAGCGCCCGAGAGGGUAGCGAAGCCUAUCAAACUAAGAAUGCCGGAGUAUUGAUGUAUGGGAGUCAGACAGUGUGAGAUAAAUCUCAUUGUCAAAAGGGAAACAGCCCAGAUCUACAGCUAAGGUCCCAAAUUGUAUCUAAGUGGAAAACGAUGUGGAAAUACGCAGACAACCAGGAUGUUGGCUCAGAAGCAGCCACUCAUUUAAAGAGUGCGUAAUAGCUCACUGGUCGAGCGUCUCUGCGCGGAAAAUUUAACGGGGCUAAGAUACAAACCGAAGCUUAGGCUGCACGUAAGUGCGGGGUAGGGGAGCGUUGUGUAAGCGGAGAAACAGUAGCGUAAGCGGCUGUGGAGUUUACAGAAGUGAGAAUGCCGGAAUGAGUAGCGCGAAUGUGGUGAGAAUCCACAUGGCCGGAAACCUCAGGUUUUUGGAGGAAGGUUCGUCCGCUCCAAGUUAGGCGGGAGCUAAGGUCAGGCCGAAAGGCGUAGCCGAUGCACAGACGGUAGAGAUUCCGUCCCCACCGAAAGAUUUAAGCACAGGGACACUUUUUGAAGGUCGGAGCCAGGUGUUGGUUCUGGUAGUGAUCGAGGGAAAUAUAGUACCGAAGUCCGGCUGGAAGAGAGGCGAGAAAAGCUGUGUGUAUAUCUAAGGUGCCCGUACCGCAAACCGACACAGGUAGGUAGGAAGAAGAUUCUAAGGCCAACGGGAGAAGGGUUGUUAAGGAACUCGGCAAAUUGACCCCGUAACUUCGGGAGAAGGGGUGCUCCAGAGAUGGAGCCGCAGAGAAUCGGCCCAAGCAACUGUUUACCAAAAACACAGGUUUGUGCUAAAUCGAAAGAUGACGUAUACGAGCUGACGCCUGCCCGGUGCUGGAAGGUUAAGAGGAGAUGUGCAAGCAUUGAAUCGAAGCCCCAGUGAACGGCGGCCGUAACUAUAACGGUCCUAAGGUAGCGAAAUUCCUUGUCAGGUAAGUUCUGACCCGCAUGAAAGGCGUAAUGAUUUGGGCACUGUCUCAACAGCCCGCCCGGCGAAAUUGUAGUACCGGUGAAGAUGCCGGUUACCCGCGACAAGACGGAAAGACCCCAUGGAGCUUUACUGUAGCCU